GACGAACGCUGGCGGCGUGCUUAACACAUGCAAGUCGAACGGAAAGGCCCCUUUGGGGGUACUCGAGUGGCGAACGGGUGCGUAACACGUGCGUAACCUGCCCUUGACUUCGGGAUAACUUCAGGAAACUGGGGCUAAUACUGGUUCGGAAUCCUUGCUGCAUGGUGGGGGUUGGAAAGCUUCGGCGGUUUUGGCUGGACUCGCGGCUUAUCCGCUUGUUGGUGGGGUAGUGGCUUACCAAGGCUUUGACGGGUAGCCGGCCUGAGAGGGGGACCGGCCACAUUGGGACUGAGAGACGGCCCAGACUCCUACGGGAGGCAGCAGUGGGGAAUAUUGCACAAUGGGCGGAAGCCUGAGGCAGCAGCGCCGCGUGCGGGAUGACGGCCUGCUGGUGGUAAACCGCUGUCAGCAGGGGCGAAGCUUGUGGUGACGGUACCUGCAGAAGAAGCACCGGCUAACUACGUG
rnacentral:rRNA from 1 species